GCCUAACACAUGCAAGUCGAACGAGAUCUUCGGAUCUAGUGGCGCACGGGUGCGUAACGCGUGGGAAUCUGCCCUUGGGUACGGAAUAACUCACCGAAAGGUGUGCUAAUACCGUAUGAUGACGUAAGUCCAAAGAUUUAUCGCCCGAGGAUGAGCCCGCGUUGGAUUAGCUAGUUGGUGAGGUAAAGGCUCACCAAGGCGACGAUCCAUAGCUGGUCUGAGAGGAUGAUCAGCCACACUGGGACUGAGACACGGCCCAGACUCCUACGGGAGGCAGCAGUGGGGAAUAUUGGACAAUGGGCGAAAGCCUGAUCCAGCAAUGCCGCGUGAGUGAUGAAGGCCUUAGGGUUGUAAAGCUCUUUUACCCGGGAAGAUAAUGACUGUACCGGGAGAAUAAGCCCCGGCUAACUCCG
rnacentral:rRNA from 2 species